CUGAUUGAUUCCUCCUGCUCCCCGACACCGUGGGGGCCCCGGACAGGGAAGGGGGGCCGAGGCGGCAUCUGCGGGCCCUUGCACCGGCCCUCGCCCCCAGCCGCUCCUCGGGCUGCCGGCCCCUCGGUGCCCCGCUGCGGCCAGACCAAGGAAAGAGGGCCGGGCCAGCCUUUGCCCCCGCUGGUGGGCGGGGAGAGACCCAGGGAGGAGCCGAGCGGUGUCCGGCUGGGUCCCCUGCAAUGGCCCACGGAGCCCGCCCUGGGCCUUGAACGCUGCGGGCCUUGGGGUCUGCCCUCAGCAAAGGUUUUGCACCUUCCCCAAAAGGGUAUGGAGGAUUCGGGAUGGGGAGAGAAUACAGUGAUGGACUGAGAACUUGAGGAGAACAAGCCUUGGCAAAAUGAGAAAGGUGGCAUCUUCGAGGAGCGUUGAUCGCGUGGGCCAAACCCGGGUGGCUCGUGUCUUAUCCCGUGCCUCCCUGGGGAAGCAGGGACGGGGCCUGCCCACACAGCACAGGACACGACAAGGAUCUGAGCUCGAAGAAAGGCCCGGGGCCUCUGUGAGUUAGAGAACCUGUGCCCAAAUCUAGCAGCGGGUGGUCUGGCCACAGACUCAUGGCUCCCUAAGAAACCAAGUGUUGAGGUGAGGCCUCAGUGGCGAGUGCCUGGGGCCUGUAGAUUGGAGGGUCUUCCUGGUUCUGCCAUUUAGUUUGUGACUUGGGCAAGUAACUUUACCUUUUUUAGCCUUGGUUUAUUGAUCUGUAAAAUGGGGUUAAGACCUCCUUGACAAUUAUCAAUAGCUAAAUGGGAUAAUAUGUUGAUGGCAGGACUCUAAGUUCUCUGGCAAGGAGAAGAAAGGGAGAUGGGGGGGUUGCUGCCUUCCAUCCCUGCUGCUGUGUUGGAUGAAUCCCUCCUCUCUCCUUGAAGGAGAGCUGUGGCAAUCGUUGUGAACAUGAUCUGGGUCACUGUGGCUACUCAGUGUCUAUCUCUGGGUCUGUUCCUUAUCUGAAAGCCUCUUUCAGCAGCCCUCCGGACUCCCUCACCAAAUGCCACCCCAUUCCCCAGAAGCCAUGUCGGCUCUGCUGGGAGCGGACAAGAGGCCUGAAAAUGUCCCUUCAGAUUUAAGAUGUGGAUGGGGAAGAGCACUGGACUGAGAGCUGGAGGCCAUGUCCUCAGCUGCCCUGCCUCACCCUGUGGCCUUGGUCCAUCAGAUCCCUUUACUGAGUCCUGCUUUCCUCUGUAAAAUGAGGGUACUGGAUGAGAUUGCCCCAUUAUUCUCAGUCUUCACUUGGGGCUCCUCCACAAGGGCUAAGAAUACAGUGGUGGCAUUAUAUGCCAUUC